rnacentral:rRNA from 1 species
UACGGAGGGGGCGAGCGUUGUCCGAAGUACUGGGCGUAAAGCGUGCGCAGGCGGUUAUGCAAGACAGAUGUGAAAUCCCCGGGCUCAACCUGGGAACUGCAUUUGUGACUGCAUAGCUAGAGUGCGGCAGAGGGAGAUGGAAUUCCGCGUGUAGCAGUGAAAAUGCGUAGAUAUGCGGAGGAACACCGAUGGCGAAGGCAAUCUCCUGGGGCCUGCACUGACGCUCAUGCACGAAAAGGCG